ACUCAAAUGAAUUGACGGGAGCUCGCACAAGCGGUGGAGCGUGUGGCUCAAUUCGUCGCUAAACGAAGAACCUUACCAAGAUUAGAAAUCCAACUGCACGCCUAGGGAAACCUAGGAAGCCUUCGAGGGUGUUGGACAGGUGAUGCACGGCUGUCGUCAGUUCGUGGUUUGAAUCGUUCCCUUCAGUGGGGUAACGAACGCAACCCUCGUUGCCAGUUAUAAGUGUCUGGCGAGACUGCCCCCUCACGGGGGAGGAAGGUGAGGAUGACGCCAAGUCAGCGUGUCCCUCUGAUAUCUUGGGCUGCACACGCGCUACAAUCGCCGUUACAAAGAGGCGCAAUGCCGCAAGGCGGAGCAAAUCUCUAAAAGCGGCGCCAGUUCGGAUUGGAGUCUGCAACUCGACUCCAUGAAGCCGGAAUCGCUAGUAAUCGUGGGUCAGCUAUACCACGGUGAAUACGUUCUCGAGCUUUGUACACACCGCCCGU
rnacentral:rRNA from 1 species